AAAAGGCCAGAAAUUCACAUCCACAUCAAGAAGAGUCAAAUCUGCAUGAGUAAAACCUGCUUUUUAGUAAAAAUUUGAAAACUGACCCUAAGAGUUGAUUCAGGAAAUUGAAGCUUCUGCUGCCUGCCAGGAGCACAUUGAUGAAUCUUGCUAUGUUACACCUGAGGCUGAAAUGGAUGUAACAGCAGGAAAAAUGCUAGGGAGCUGAAUUGUCAAUGGAAUAACCAGCACUAUGAGGAAAAGUAUGACUACACCCAGCUGCAGAAAUGGAACCUCAGCAGACAUCCUAGGGGCACAGAGGAGAUUUUAAUGAUUAGAAGCAGACAGUAUUAAAGCUAUGAACACAGUUUAGGGAUACUUUAUUAUUGGGAUGCAUGAUCUAAAAUAAGUAAUUCUUUUUUUAAGAGUGGACUCAAUCUAUGUUCCAGGGAAAUAGCUUCCUUGACUGAAGAUUGAAAUGAAGGCCCUGACACUAAGGCACGGCAGAAAUCAGGGGAGAAAGGAGAAGUGUUUUGAACAGAAGUUGCAUAUGGAGGAGUCAUACACCAGCUGAGGCCAGCCUAGAAUCUGAGAUGUGGCUAGAUUCUGAUGAGGAACAAAGACCAUAGACUUAAUUCUGUAUGUAGAUAACAUGAGAGGGAAUUCACAGAUAUGAUUAAGUCAAUCAAAAGUCUUGGGAUGUCCUACAAAUAAACAUCUGGAACUCAUUGGUUCUAUAAUUUUU
rnacentral:lncRNA from 1 species